rnacentral:rRNA from 1 species
CCUCGGGUGGCUGCAGUGGGGAAUAUUGGACAAUGGGCGAAAGCCUGAUCCAGCCAUGCCGCGUGUGUGAAGAAGGCCUUCGGGUUGUAAAGCACUUUCAGUGGGGAAGAAAGCCUUGGGGCUAAUACCCUCGAGGAAGGACAUCACCCACAGAAGAAGCACCGGCUAACUCCGUGCCAGCAGCCGCGGUAAUACGGAGGGUGCGAGCGUUAAUCGGAAUUACUGGGCGUAAAGCGCGCGUAGGCGGUCUGAUAAGCCGGUUGUGAAAGCCCCGGGCUCAACCUGGGAACGGCAUCCGGAACUGUCAGGCUAGAGUGCAGGAGAGGAAGGUAGAAUUCCCGGUGUAGCGGUGAAAUGCGUAGAGAUCGGGAGGAAUACCAGUGGCGAAGGCGGCCUUCUGGACUGACACUGACGCUGAGGUGCGAAAGCGUUGGUAGCAAACAGGAUUAGAUACCCCAGUAGUC